UUCGUCGCGCGUCGCUCCUAAUCCCCUCACCUCUCCCUCCACCUUCACGCAUAUGCUUCCACCUUCCUCACGCGUGGCCGCCGCCGGCCUCUCAACCUGCACAAAUAGAAUGAUUCCUUGGCCACCGCCGCUCCGUCGGAGACGGCACUCCCCAUGGCAGACGACUCCUCACAGGAAUACAUGGCCGCCACUGCCGCUUUGCCGGAGACGGCGUUCAGAUCUAGCUUUUUUGAGGGAUAACUUAAUUUCUCGUGUGCUCUGUUUCUAUAUCGAUCCAAUCGAGUCUUUCGUGAUCCGGUUAAGUCUUCGACCGAGCAAGCCGGAUGGGGAGAAAGCGCACAGAUGCCUCUUUGGCAGCGCCACUCGACGCCCGCAAGCGCCACCGGCCGAAGCAGGCAAGCGGCGGUUGGGCAUCUCUUGCCACCGAUCGUCGCCGACCGACUCCUCGACGAGUCAACGACAGCGACAUCGCGGGCUUCAUCUUCUUCCACGCCGUCUGCUCGGCCUGACGUCCCUGCACGCCCCUCCUGCCUGGAGACAUCAGGCCAGGCGAUCGAUCGAUUCCGAUGUACGAUGCACGUAGGCAUGCUACAGGUAGGUGUGCUGCUCGGCAGGCAGCGUCUCCUCCAAUUAGGCCGGCGUCGCUCAGCGCCCCAACCCUCAGGAAUCAGCCAUUCAGGUCGCCAGUCCCAUCUUCUCUAGCUGAACAAGAAGGCGCUGAUGGAGAAGCCAAUCAUGACCCCACGGAGGAGCUAAGCCGCAGAAGAUCUACAUAUCUGAAGCCAGUUGUAGAGGAAUGGUGGCAGAUCGCAACUAUGAUGAGUUCAUCAGCGUUGAGCCCUUGUAGAGCUCAGGAGAAUCCCGACGGAGAACAAGAAGGCGCUGAUGGAGAAGCCAAUCAUGACCCCACGGAGGAGCUAACCCGCAGAAGAUCUACAUGUCUGAAGCCAGUUGUAGGAUGUUUCCAAAAUGAUAACUUCCGGAUGGAACGACAUUUCCGAUGAGACAUCUAGCAGAUCAAAGUCCAACAAUAUUUCUGCCAAACCAAAAGUAGAGACUAAGGUUGAUUUCUCCUCGGUUCAUCUAAAUAAUGGCACCUAAAAAGAGGUUUUGGCAAAGUUCACUGGUGACCAGCAAAUACACGCAGGAAAUGCAAACAGUACAUGUGUUUCUGAUGCUUAGCUCAUUUUGCUUCUUAUGAUGUUCUGAUCCGAGUACUCCUGGCCUUUUGUAGAUUGACGAGCUUCUGAAUAAAAUGAAUGUUAUCCAUGCAUCCUAUACCAACAAUAUUUCUCUAAAACGAAGUUCGAGAAGGAGCAAAUCGAAUUCACCUUCAGAAGUGUUCAAAUUUGAAGGAGAAAAAAUCACAGGAAGGAGAAGAAAGUGAAAAGAACAGUUACCGAGGAAGAGAUGGUUAAGCAAUCCUUUUAAAGUUGUCAGGAGAAAGCCAUUCUGAGCAAUGUAAUCAAAUUUUCAGCUGUGGCAUUCUGUCGAGAAUCAUUUUCUGCAAUGCAGACUUGCAGUACUAAUGUUUAUCUUUUCUGCUGUCUCCAGCAUGAUGCCGGAGACCCCUUGUGGCGGCGGUCGGCGACAUCCCGAGCCUGCAGCCCCUGUUCCCCCAGCUGUACCGACAGUCGACCGGACGCCACAAAUGCUUCUCCUGUGCGGCUCGAGCCACAGAAGGUAACUUUUGAUAAUAACCUGUGAUACUAAUGUGGCCUUUUCACGCCUUUGGCUGGGAGAACCUUUGGUAUAACAUUUGGUGGAUGUUACUGACGGAUGAGUUGUUAGCCGAGGAUGGGGCACAUAAUUUUGAGCAAAGAUGCUUUGAGGCAUGUUUGUUUCAGAUUAUGCACAUGUACAACAAUGGUACACCACGCGAAUUAAAAUGAAUCAGAUGGGAGUUCUUAUUUACCCUGCCAUCCUAGCUGAUUAUGUGGAAUUUAUAAGGAUUUUUUUGCAGUGUACUUAUUUUAACUUUACGUCUAAGAUUAUUCGUAAAUCAUGUUCGAAUAAAAUGUACCCUGUGAUGUUUUUAUCAUAAUAAAGCUUUAUUAAUUUAAAUGUUGCAAGUUUAUAUUAAUAAUACAAACUUUUUUUCUAUUGUUGAAUGCUGUGGGACGAAGAGUUUAGGCGUGCACCUGCAGUACUGAUUCAUAAGUGUGUUGUGUAAACUCUAACAUCUUUCUAGGGGUGUUUGCUGAUGGUUGAUGUUUAUAUUUUAACUAUUUUUUAUUUCUUUAUUUAUUUUGUUACCUGUGGCAACCCACGAGCAUUUUAUACUAGAGAAAUAGAGAAAACCAUGACAGUUGAAUAUUAUAUUUUAGUUAAGGGGAAAGCAGUACCUUGUCAAUGAAUGUCUCUUUGCUGAAGGUAAGGACGCCGAGGCUGAAUUACGCGGCCAGAAUCGGGGUGAGGGACCACGAACAGCCAGAUCCAUGGUCUCGGACGGAGGACGGCCACGACGACGAUGGUGCGGCGCCGGUGUCUAACGAUGAGCCUACUAGGUGUGGUCUCCGAAGGCUGCAGAACUGCGGUGGUUC